rnacentral:lncRNA from 1 species
AUGAGAGCCCAGCCAGUUGGCUUUUGCUCCAAGGUGGUGUCCGUUCUCGUUCCACCACUAACUCAGGGGCUUGCGCUGCCUGCUGCAUUCCUAUCAACAGCAAUUUGUACAGGAAAUAAUUCUUUACUGGUUUUAAGCCCUUCACUGGCAUGCUCAUGCAUGCUACCAGAUGUGACGAGGAAAAAGCCUGAAGAUCAGAGGGCUCUAGCCUCAUCCCCUAAUAUGAUUGAAACAAAUUAUGAAAAUGGGCUUCCAAGAGGUCCGCAAGUGAAAAAGGGUCGGGGACCACGGCGGGAGAUGAACGCAGUUGUUUUGUUUCUAUAUCAGACUCUUAUCAUAACUUUCAUUUCUAGGGCAAAUUACAUAGAGGAAACCAACCCUGUAAGUGGAAAUUUGAAUUCCUAUCAAGUGGCUAUGUCUGUGUACUUAUACAGUGGUACUUCGCUAGACGACCUCGUAAAACAACAAAUCUACAUGACUAUGAGGUUUUGCGAUCACUAUAGUGAUUCACAAAACAGUCAUUCCAAUGGGCGAUUUUCGUUGGAUGAUCAUUUGGUCUGUGCUUCACGUACCGUUUUUUCGCAAGAUGACGAUGAUCGGCGGCUUCACAAAAUGGCUUCCCUAUGUUUUUGGGACCCAUGCUUCACAGGACAGCCAUUUUAACAGCUGAUCGGCGCUCGCAAAAUGGCUUCCCUAUGGGCAAUCUUCGCAGGACAACGAUGCAUUUUCUCCAUUGGAACGCAUUAAACGGGUUUAUCUUUAAUAUUUCAGAGGCAGUUUAAUAUUUAAGGACUGUAACAAUAUACAACUUAGUUGUUCCUUGUCAAGAUGAAGUUAGUGCAUUAUUUUAAAAAGGUUCCUAUCUUUCAUCAAUAGCAAUUUUCUGCAAUAUUCUGCAUGUGCAUUAAAGGCCACAGCUGCUUAAAACCAGGAAAUGUUGACAGACAUCCAUAAUAUAGAUCUGAUGCUAGUGCUGAUAUUUUCAUAUUAGCUACUAUUCUAUAUAGCUUACUAACAUGUGAAAACAGCAGACUAAAAAGAUUCUAAUAGUAUUCCUCUUUUGAUAAACUGACAUAAAUGUGUGAUGCCUAGAUUCAUAUAGCCAUAAAAUUUCUUGAGAGCCUUAUUUUGCAAUGUAAUCUUAACAUUCCCUGCACAAGUUAACAAGAGUAGAACUACUACAAUUGAGAGAGAGAGAGAGAGAGAGAAGCAUGUUUCAUAGUUCAAGCCUCUGCAUAAAUAAAUUCCACUGUAUUCAAUAGUACUUCCCUCCC